ACCAGUGUAGUAUAAUGGUUUGAAUGCUGGACUACAACUCUGGAGACCAGGGUUUGAAUCCCCACUUAGCCA